rnacentral:lncRNA from 10 species
GGUAGUUCCCUAGCAACAAAGGCCAUAGCAACACCAAAGAAGACAUCAGUAAGAAUAGGGUGAAGAUUCUUAAGAGUAGUGUCUCUGUCACUCCUGCUGUUGAAAAAAUCUCCAUGAUCUUCUUUUAGAAAAAGGACCUUCACCUAACUCAAUGUGGUCUGAAGUGCCUGCAAAAACUUUGAUUCCAACUUUUUUUUUCGUCAUUUAAAUCUUGAAUGGGAACACAUACGGAAGUGAACAUAAUUGUGACUUGACACUUUUAAUUUUAAUUGGAAUGCUAGAUGAAAAACUAAUCAAGGAAAUCCAGGAGGCUUCUCCCAUUUCUGAAGAACUAUCUAGAGAUGUUUGGAACCACAGUUGCUUUUGAUCUGUGCCAUUUUGAGCCUUCUUUGAUGAAUGAUGUCAAAUGCCUUUUUUGUUUCACUCCCUUUGAAGAACCAUGCCAUUAUUCAUCAAAGCCCAAUUCAACCCUGAUGUUUUAUUCCAAUAUGUGUGCCAAGAAGAGAUCUGGAUGUUGGAUA